CGAUUCCAUUUUUUUUACUUCUAAUUUUUUUUAAUCUAUUUAUUUAUUUAUGGGUUGUUGUUUGUAAAUUUAGUUUUAAUGAAUUAACAAAUUCUUGUCCAUAAUAUAAAAAUAGAAAUAAUGAUACGGUGGGCAUCCCGAAUGAACAAUAAUACCACUGUUCAAGUAGAUGUAGGGUUUCUGGGUGUAUGUUUUGGGCCUCAUCAUUCUGAUUUUUACUUAAUACAUAUAUAAUUGUAUACCUGUGUCCAUAUUAAAUAUUAUUUCAUAGAUUUAUUUUCUAUUGAUGAAAUAGUGGCGAGGUCGGGUAUCUAGUCUCAUUUUCAGUUUACGAUAAAAUCCAAAGGCGCUUCGUGACGAGAAACUCUGGAGCAAUUUUAACAUUGUAAAACUCUAGCCUAGUUGGAUAUUAUGAUUGCAUAACAUGCAACACCUUUAUAAAAAAAAUUCAAGCUGUAAAUAAUUGCUAAGUAUGGAUAUCAACCCGGGGAAAAGUAUAAAAUUACUGUAAAAUGAAAGCACUAAGCUUCCGGUGGCAACAAGGAAACACUUCAAGGUCACAAGGUCUAAAACAAAGCUCGUGUCACGUGGAAUGCUCAUGUGAAAUUUGAGAACCAUAUCACCCACCAUGAAAGUUAUGAACAAUGUGAAAGUUUCGGUCAGACAGAUAAACAGGCGGACAGGCAGAAAACAGAACAAAAACAAUACCCCCACCCAAAACUUCGACAUGGAGGCAUAAAAAGGAAUAAAGGGCACACAAACAAAAUUAGUAGGUUGUGACAUGUACAAAUUUUCGUGUGAUGUCGUCAGUAAUAACCCCUUUAAUAACGCCCGUUAGUGGAGGUCUACUCAGUAGUUUUGUGUGAUCGCAGUUUGCGCAUCAAUUUGUACAUUAUAUGUGCGCGACUGUUUUAUUUGGCACCUUGCGAGCAGUGGCUUGAUCGCCUCUGUCAAUUGUGAAAUGACCAUAUGAAUUACAACUUCAAAAUAAUGUUUAGAUAUAACUUUUUAACGAAAGAGAAAUAUAGGAAUAGAAAACAUGAAUAACAAUCAUUGACAGAAAAAAAAAUGUUGAAAUGAAAUUGUUUAAACAAAAAUAAAGAAUUAAUAUAUAAACAGAGUAAAAAGACAUUAAAAUACAAUGUUGGACCAAAUACAUGUAUAUAGAAUGAAAAAAUGGAAACAAAAACGCUUAUUUAUAUUCUCUCAAUUUCUGAUCAGUGCGCAUGUGCAAAGGGAAAAUCCCGUCUGAAAAUAGAAAUGCGCAUACCUGAAUAUACGGCCCGCUUCAAUGUUGCGACGUCAUAGGUCACCUAAUUUGCAUCAAUUAUUCAUAGUUACAAGGAGCAAGGAAAGUUCUAUAUGCUCCAAUAUCACCGCAAAUCUGGGUCACCGAGUCAAUCGUGACGUAUUUGCAAACACACUACAUAAUCGUACAUGUAUUGAGAAUUUCAUCAUUUUUUGACAGCGACUCGAGAUAGAAAAAGGGAUUUUCUGGAAUAUCAGUUCGAUCUUUUGCAUAGGCCUAGAACAUUGUGAUCUGAUCAUGAAUGUCAUUGGAGGAGACGAAACCAAGUCAUACAUGACGACUUCCCAGGCACAGUCUCCGACCACAACCGUCAGCACUAGUACAAUUCUGACCACUAUUCGCCAAAGUGUCCCUGUAGAGCCCACGAUAACUGCUGCCCAAGAGGAAUACAUCACCGAUGUCCAUUCAUCUGAAGCGAAUUGGAAAGUAAUCAUACCUAUACCUAUAAUAAUAAUAGUAGUCUUCAUUUUUGUCAUUGGGUUCAUGGUAGCAUUGAAAAAAUGCAGACGAUCCAAAAGAGACGGCAAAAGUGAAAUAAAAUUGAAAGCAAACGGUCAACAUACCAAUGCUAAAAAGACUUUAGACUUGAAAUGUUGGAGUGUUAACCAGAGUGCAAAUGACAUCAAUGCCGACCAACAUCUUCCAGACUCGACAAAUGGUUCUCCCUAUAUACCGGAGGACGAUGAUCACAACAAAAGUUCGUUCCCGCUGCUUUCAAACGACGGCGCACAUGUGGUCAACUUAGAGAGUCCGGGAGACGAUAAGGAAACUUGAUGUUUGUUUAUAACAUCGAGGAAGCCAUGCAGAAGAGUCAACUUCAAACAAUGAAGUUCUUUAUAUGGAAGCAGUGCACACGAACACGAGAUCCUUCCGAAAACUAAAAGUUACCGUAAACUGUGAUCAGAAGAAAAUAGAAUGGAAGAAUUCAAUGCUAUAGACUCCUUAAAUCCAACAUCAUCAUCUAAAACAAUCCAAUUCUUAUCAGUUUCUUGUUUGGCUGUCAGUUUUAGAUAGAAUUUCAAGAAUUUCUUGUGUUUCAAUUCUUCACAAACGGAAAUUGUGAUGUCGCAGUGAUGAAAGAGUCAUUUCAAUGACAGCAUAACUUUAUAUGCAUUUAUUAUUAUAUCAAUGUAAAUAUGCUGUGUAAUCUCAGAAAAGAGGGAAAAAAGAAUGAAAUGCAUCUGGUUAAAGUAUACAUGUCUGUAUAUUGUAUUAUCAGCAUAACUUUAUGUAUGUGUAUGCUUAUAUUAAUCUAAAUGUGCUGUAUAAUCUCAGAAAGGAGGAAAUAAAGAAUGAAUGAAUUGAU